UAUUAUGAGAGUUUGAUCCUGGCUCAGGAUGAACGCUGGCGGCGUGGAUAAGGCAUGCAAGUCGAACGGGUGUUUAUUUUUAGCAAUAAGAGUUAACACUAGUGGCAAACGGGUUAGUAACACGUAGGUAACUUUCCUUGGAGUCUUGAAUAAUUCCGCGAAAGCGGAACUAAUACAAGAUGGCAAUGAGGGGGCAUAAGCCAUUCUCAUUUAAAGAUUUAUCGCUCCAAGAAAGGCCUGCGUCCUAUCAGCUUGUUGGUGAGGUAACGGCUCACCAAGGCUAUGACGGGUAGGGGGACUGAGAGGUUGGCCCCCAACAUCGGGACUGAGACACUGCCCGGACUCCUACGGGAGGCUGCAGUCAAGAACCU
rnacentral:ncRNA from 1 species